UACGUAGGGUGCGAGCGUUGUCCGGAAUUACUGGGCGUAAAGAGCUCGUAGGUGGUUUGUCGCGUUGUUCGUGAAAACUCACAGCUCAACUGUGGGCGUGCGGGCGAUACGGGGCAGACUGGAGUACUGCAGGGGGAGACUGGAAUUCCUGGUGUAGCGGUGGAAUGCGCAGAUAUCAGGAAGAACACCGGUGGCGAAGGCGGUCAACUGGCCCUAAACUGACGCUCAGGCACGAAAAGCGUGGGGGAUCAAAACAGG
rnacentral:rRNA from 1 species